GAUGAACGCUAGCGGCAGGCCUAACACAUGCAAGUCGAGGGGUAGCAGGAUUAAGCUUGCUUAAUUGCUGACGACCGGCGCACGGGUGCGUAACUCGUAUGCAACCUACCUUAUACUGGGGUAUAGCCCGGAGAAAUUCGGAUUAAUCCCCCAUAGUACUAAUGAAUCGCAUGGUUUAUUAGUUAAAGCAUUGCGGUAUAAGAUGGGCAUGCGUCCUAUUAGCUAGAUGGUGAGGUAACGGCUCACCAUGGCUACGAUAGGUAGGGGGCCUGAGCGGGUGGUCCCCCACACUGGUACUGAGACACGGACCAGACUCCUGCGGGAGGCAGCAGUGAGGAAUAUUGGUCAAUGGGCGCAGGCCUGAACCAGCCAUGCCGCGUGCAGGAAGAAUGCCCUAUGGGUUGUAAACUGCUUUUAUUUGGGAAUAAACCUCUUUACGUGUAGAGAGCUGAAGGUACCAAAUGAAUAAGCACCGGCUAACUCCGUGCCAGCAGCCGCCGUAA
rnacentral:rRNA from 1 species